UACAGAGGGUGCAAGCGUUGUUCGGAAUUAUUGGGCGUAAAGCGCGUGUAGGCGGCUUUGCAAGUCGGGUGUGAAAGCCCUCAGCUCAACUGAGGAAGUGCGCCCGAAACUGCAGAGCUUGAGUACCGGAGAGGAUGGUGGAAUUCCCCAAGUAGAGGUGAAAUUCGUAGAUAUGGGGAGGAACACCGGUGGCGAAGGCGACCAUCUGGACGGAUACUGACGCUGAGACGGCGAAAAGCGUGGGUACGCAAACAGG
rnacentral:rRNA from 1 species